CCUACGGGAGGCAGCAGUGGGGAAUAUUGCACAAUGGGGGAAACCCUGAUGCAGCAACGCCGCGUGGGGGAAGAAGUACUCCGUAUUGUAAAGCCCUUUCACCAGGGAAGAAAAUGACGGUACCUAACCAAAAAGCCCCGGCUAACUACGUGCCAGCAGCCGCGGUAAUACGAAGGGGGCAAGCGUUACUCGGAUUUACUGGGUGUAAAGGGAGCGUAGACGGCAAGGCAAGUCUGGAGUGAAAGCCCGUGGCCCAACCACGGGACUGCUUUGGAAACUGUGUUGCUGGAGUGCAGGAGGGGUAAGCGGAAUUCCUAGUGUAGCGGUGAAAUGCGUAGAUAUUAGGAGGAACACCGGUGGCGAAGGCGGCUUACUGGACUGUAACUGACGUUGAGGCUCGAAGGCGUGGGGAGCAAACAGGAUUAGAUACCCGUGUAGUC
rnacentral:rRNA from 1 species